rnacentral:lncRNA from 1 species
CCAAUAUGCACACAUACAACAUGCACACACCAACAUGCACACAUACAACAUGCACACACACCAACAUGCACACUCACACCAACAUGCACACACUCAUACCAUGUGCAUAUACACCAAUAUGCACACAUACAACAUGCACACACACCAACAUGCACUCACACCAACAUGCACACACACCAACAUGCACACAUACACCAACAUGCACACUCACACCAACAUGCACACACACCAACAUGCACUCACACCAACAUGCACACACACCAACAUGCACACACACCACUGUGCACCCAUACCAACAUGCACACACACACCAAAAUGCACACACACCAACAUGCACAAACAUGCACACAUACACCAACAUGCACACUCACAUCAACAUGCACACUCACACCAACAUGCACACACCCUUACACCAAUAUGCACACAUACACCAACAUGCACACUCACACCAACAUGCACACUCACACCAACAUGCACACACCCUUACACCAACAUGCACACUCACGCCAACAUGCACACUCAUACCAUGCGCAUAUACACCAAUAUGCACACAUACAACAUGCACACACCAACAUGCACACAUACAACAUGCACACACCAACAUGCACACAUACAACAUGCAUACACACCAAUGCACACUCACACCAACAUGCACACUCAUACCAUGUGCAUAUACACCAAUAUGCACACAUACAAUGUGCACACACCAACAUGCACACUCACACCAAUAUGCACACACACCAACAUGCACACACACCAACAUGCACACAUACACCAACAUGCACACACCAACAUGCACACUCACACCAACAUGCACACACACCAACGUGCACACUCGCACCAACAUGCACACACACCAUGCACUCACACCAACAUGCAUACAUACACCAACGUGCACUCACACCAACAUGCACACUCACACCAACAUGCACACCAACAUGCACAUACACCUACACACAUACACCAACAUGCACACUCACACCAACAUUCACACACAUGCACACACACCAACAUGCACACACAACAUGCACACUCACACCAACAUGCACACACACCAACAUGCACACACAUGCACACUCACACCAACAUGCACACACACCAACAUGCACACAUACACCAACAUGCACACUCACACCAACAUGCACACAUACACCAUACACACCAAUAUGCACACACUCAAAACACACCAAUAUGCACACAUACCAACAGGCACACACACACCAACAUGCACACAUACACACCAAUAUGCACACACUUAUACCAACAUGCAUACACACACCCAACGUGCACACACACACAGAAUAGUCACUUUAGGACGGGGAAAUAUACCAACUUUAAUCAAGGGGGAGAAAAGCCUCGCUACGACCCCUCCCAUCACUCUUAAACAGCCAGUUGAUGAUAGUGACAGCUGAUUAGAGGGCUCUUGUCCAGAGGCGGCCCAGCAAGGGACAGAAUGAGACAGCCUAACUACAGUAUCAGAGAACACUGCUAAUGGUUUUCCCCAAGCUGCAGCAAAGUGAUUGACUUCCAGCCCCAGUAACUUCCAGGACUUCAUUUGCCACAAGAGUGCCCCUAAUUCUAAGUUGGUGUC